rnacentral:rRNA from 1 species
GAUUGCCUACGGGGCGCAGCAGUGAGGAAUAUUGGUCAAUGGGCUUACGCCUGAACCAGCCAAGUCGCGUGAGGGAAGACUGCCCUAUGGGUUGUAAACCUCUUUUGUCAGGGAGCAACGCCGGCUACGUGUAGCCGGACUGAGAGUACCUGAAGAAAAAGCAUCGGCUAACUCCGUGCCAGCAGCCGCGGUAAUACGGAGGAUGCGAGCGUUAUCCGGAUUUAUUGGGUUUAAAGGGUGCGUAGGCGGACUGUCAAGUCAGCGGUAAAAUACGGGGGCUCAACCUCCGCCCGCCGUUGAGACUG